rnacentral:rRNA from 1 species
CAAUAGCGUAUAUUAACGUUGUUGCAGUUAAAAAGCUCGUAGUUGGAUUUCUGACAGGAGUGACCGGUCCGAGUCGCAAGACUCGUGUACUUUUGUGUCUUACUCUAGUCAUCCUUAUGGAGAUUGUGUUUCGGCAUUGAGUUGUCGGGCAUAGGACCCAUAUCGUUUACUGUGAAAAAAUUAGAGUGUUUAAAGCAGGCAAUUGCUGUGAAUACAUUAGCAUGGAAUAAUAAGAUAGGACUUUGGUGCUAUUUUGUUGGUUUGCCACCAAGGUAAUGAUUAAGAGGGACAGUUGGGGGUAUUCGUAUUUAAUUGUCAGAGGUGAAAUUCUUGGAUUUAUGAAAGACGAACUACUGCGAAAGCAUUUACCAAGGAUGUUUUCAUUA